CCAGACUCCUACGGGAGGCAGCAGUGGGGGAUAUUGCACAAUGGGGGAAACCCUGAUGCAGCGACGCCGCGUGAGCGAUGAAGUAUUUCGGUAUGUAAAGCUCUAUCAGCAGGGAAGAAGAUGACGGUACCUGACUAAGAAGCCCCGGCUAACUACGUGCCAGCAGCCGCGGUAAUACGUAGGGGGCAAGCGUUAUCCGGAUUUACUGGGUGUAAAGGGAGCGUAGACGGCAGUGCAAGUCCGGAGUGAAAGCCCGGGGCUCAACCCUGGGACUGCCCUUGGAACUGUGCGGCUAGAGUGCGGGAGGGGCAGGCGGAAUUCCUGGUGUAGCGGUGAAAUGCGUAGAUAUCAGGAGGAACACCGGCGGCGAAGGCGGCCUGCUGGACCGCGACUGACGUUGAGGCUCGAAAGCGUGGGGAGCGAACAGGAUUAGAUACCCCAGUAAG
rnacentral:rRNA from 1 species